AUUCGAUGCAACGCGAAGAACCUUACCAAGGCUUGACAUAUACGAGAACGGGCCAGAAAUGGUCAACUCUUUGGACACUCGUAAACAGGUGGUGCAUGGUUGUCGUCAGCUCGUGUCGUGAGAUGUUGGGUUAAGUCCCGCAACGAGCGCAACCCUCGUUCUAUGUUGCCAGCACGUAAUGGUGGGAACUCAUGGGAUACUGCCGGGGUCAACUUGGAGGAAGGUGGGGAUGACGUCAAAUCAUCAUGCCCCUUAUGUCUUGGGCUUCACGCAUGCUACAAUGGCCGGUACAAAGGGCUGCAAUACCGUAAGGUGGAGCGAAUCCCAAAAAGCCGGUCCCAGUUCGGAUUGAGGUCUGCAACUCGACCUCAUGAAGUCGGAGUCGCUAGUAAUCGCAGAUCAGCAACGCUGCGGUGAAUACGUUCCCGGGCCUUG
rnacentral:rRNA from 1 species